rnacentral:tRNA from 2 species
AGCCCCGUCGUCUAGCGGCCAAGGAUGUAGGCCUUUGGAGCCUAUGACGGCAGUUCGAAUCUGCCCGGGGCUA